UAUCUCUGUAGAGUCUGCAUAUCAAUAAGCGGAGGAAAAGAAACUAACAAGGAUUCCCUUAGUAACGGCGAGUGAAGCGGGAAGAGCUCAAAUUUGAAAUCUUCAAGGUUCUACCUUGACGAAUUGUAGUUUAAAGAAGUGUUUUCUGUUAGAUGAGUAGCAAAAGUUCCUUGGAAUGGGACAUCAUAGAGGGUGAGAAUCCCGUAUUUGGUUAUUCAUUCUAGCUUUGUGAUACACUUUCAAAGAGUCGGAUUGUUUGGGAAUGCAGUCCAAAAUGGGUGGUAAAUUUCAUCUAAAGCUAAAUAUUGGCGAGAGACCGAUAGCGAACAAGUACCGUGAGGGAAAGAUGAAAAGAACUUUGAAAAGAGAGUUAAACAGUACGUGAAAUUGUCAAAAGGGAAGCGUUUGACACCAGUGUUGUUUUUCCGAAAAUCAAUUACGAAUGGCUUGAUUUUGUGUUGUAUUGACUCUUAUCAGCUUUCUUCACUUUUUUCGAGUCUUUCUUAAUACACUUUUCGGUUAACAAGUCAACAUCAAUUUCUUUUGUUGUAAAAGAGUAUUCGGAAGGUGGCUUUCUUUUCGGAGAAAGUGUUUAUAGCCCUAUACUUCUACAAUCGGAGAGAUUGAGGUCUGCAGCGUAGAUCCUUCGGGGUUAGAUACACUUUGUGCUAAGUUGUAGCUUUUCAUAGACAACUUGUUGACUAUGUUUAGUCAUGCGGCUUACUCGCUUAUGCUAUUUUACCUACGCUUAGGAUGUUGAACUACUGAGACAUAG
rnacentral:rRNA from 1 species